rfam:Halorhabdus tiamatea SARL4B complete genome
ACUGGGAACACACGACCGCAAAUCUGACGCGUCGCGCAGGUGUCACAGACACUUUCGGCCUCUUUCGCCGUGCGCGACUUGGGAUUGCGGACGUGU